rnacentral:miRNA from 1 species
UAUGGGCCCUCAUGGCAUUCUUG